rnacentral:tRNA from 1 species
UCCCUGGUGGUCUAGUGGCUAGGAUUCAGCGCUUUCACCCCCGCGGCCCGGGGUUCAAUUCCCGGUCAGGGAA